rnacentral:rRNA from 1 species
CCUACGGGAGGCAGCAGUGGGGGAUAUUGCACAAUGGGGGGAACCCUGAUGCAGCGACGCCGCGUGGGUGAAGAAGGGCCUCGGCGCGUAAAGCCCUGGCAGCAGGGAAGAAAAUGACGGUACCUGAAGAAGAAGCCCCGGCUAACUACGGGCCAGCAGCAGCGGUAAUACGGAGGGGGCAAGCGUUAGCCGGAUUUACUGGGGGGAAAGGGGGCGCAGCCGGCGAGGCAAGCCAGGCUUGAAAGCCAGGGGCCCACCCCCGGGACUGCUCUUGGAACUGCGUGGCUGGAGUGCAGGAGGGGCAGGCGGAAUUCCUGGUGUCGCCGUGAACUGCGUAGAUAUCAGGAGGAACACCGGUGGCGAAGGCGGCCUGCUGGACUGCACCUGACGUUGAGGCCCGACAGCGUGGGGAGCAAACAGGAUUAGAUACCCGGGUAGUC